rnacentral:rRNA from 1 species
AUGGACCAGGAGGUGCAGCCGGACUUGGUGUGUGCUGCGACCAUGGAGGAUAAGGAGAAGCAGGCGAUGAUCCAUCACUGUAGGAUGGGGCAUGUAUCUUUUGAUAAGAUGAGUAGAAUAUUUCCGGAUGUUAUGUGUGGAAUGGGCAAAGGCAAGCUGACAUGUGAUGCUUGUGAAUAUGCAAAACACACACGGGCCUCAUAUGUGAGUAAGGGGCUCAGGAGCAUAUCUCCUUUUAUGCUUAUUCAUUCGAAUGUAUGGACUAGCCCAGUGGUGUCAAUGAAUGGGAAGAAGUAUUUUGCUACCUUUAUUGACUGCUAUUCUCGCAUGACUUGGAUUUAUUUGAUGCGUCACAAGGAUGAGGUGUUUAGCUGUUUUCAGAACUUCCAUGCUCUUGUAAAGAACCAGUUUCAGGUACAGGUCAAGGUGCUCAGGACGGACAAUGGAACGGAGUAUGUGAACAACAUUUUUGGGGCUUUCAUGGCUGACCAUGGGAUUCUUCAUCAAACUUCAUGUCCGGACACCCCCCCUCAGAAUGGAGUGGCCGAACGAAAGAAUCGUCAUGUUCUUGAGGUUGCUCGGUCGUUGAUGUUUACCAUGAAUGUGCCUAAGUUCUUGUGGGAUGAUGCAGUUAUGACAGCCACAUACUUGAUCAACCGGACACCUUCCAGGAUACUUGGCAUGCAAUCUCCAUCUGAGUUGCUCGUUGGAGAUAAUAAGUUUGUUGUUCCGCCAAAGUUGUUUGGCAAUACCUGCUUUGUUCGUGAUCACCGACCAUCUGUUGGCAAGCUUGAUCCUCAGGCAGUGAAGUGUGUCUUUUUGGGAUACUCGUCUAGUCAGCAGGGGUAUAAAUGUUGGUGUCCCUCUGAAAAACGCAGGUUUGUAAGUAUGGACGUUACGUUCAGGGAGUCUGAGCCAUUCUAUGGUGAGCCGACUGAUCUCAGUCUGCUGUUUGCAGAGCUUGACCACCUACACCCUGUGCAUGAUGGUCAAGAGGGGGAGAAGGAUGUGUCUCAUACUCACGGGGAUUCUGUGGACAUUAACGCUGAUAAUGAUGUGUAG